rnacentral:rRNA from 1 species
CAGCCGCCACGGUAAUACGAAGGGUGCAAGCGUUACUCGGAAUUACUGGGCGUAAAGCGUGCGUAGGUGGUGGUUUAAGUCCGUUGUGAAAGCCCUGGGCUCAACCUGGGAAUUGCAGUGGAUACUGGAUCACUAGAGUGUGGUAGAGGAUAGUGGAAUUUCCGGUGUAGCAGUGAAAUGCGUAGAGAUCGGAAGGAACAUCUGUGGCGAAGGCGACUAUCUGGGCCAACACUGACACUGAGGCACGAAAGCGUGGGGAGCAAACAGGAUUAGAUACCCGCGUAGUCCCUGUCUCUUAUAC